UAGGGAAUCUUCCGCAAUGGACGCAAGUCUGACGGAGCAACGCCGCGUGAGUGAAGAAGGAUUUCGGUUCGUAAAACUCUGUUGUUAGAGAAGAACAGCGCAUAGAGUAACUGUUAUGCGUGUGACGGUAUCUAACCAGAAAGCUACGGCUAACUACGUGCCAGCAGCCGCGGUAAUACGUAGGUGGCAAGCGUUGUCCGGAUUUAUUGGGCGUAAAGCGAGCGCAGGCGGUCAAUUAAGUCUGAUGUGAAAGCCCCCGGCUCAACCGGGGAGGGUCAUUGGAAACUGGUUGACUUGAGUGCAGAAGAGGAGAGUGGAAUUCCAUGUGUAGCGGUGAAAUGCGUAGAUAUAUGGAGGAACACCAGUGGCGAAGGCGACUCUCUGGUCUGUAACUGACGCUGAGGCUAGAAAGCGUGGGUAGCAAACAGG
rnacentral:rRNA from 1 species